rnacentral:rRNA from 1 species
GACGAACGCUGGCGGCGUGCUUAACACAUGCAAGUCGAACGGAAAGGCCCUGCUUUUGUGGGGUGCUCGAGUGGCGAACGGGUGAGUAACACGUGAGUAACCUGCCCUUGACUUUGGGAUAACUUCUGGAAACUGGGGCUAAUACCGGAUAGGAGCUCCUGCUGCAUGGUGGGGGUUGGAAAGUUUAGGCGGUUGGGGAUGGGCUCGCGGCUUAUCAGGUUGUUGGUGGGGGAGUGGCUUACCAAGGCUUUGACGGGUAGCCGGCCUGAGAGGGGGACCGGCCACGUUGGGACUGGGAUACGGCCCGGACUCCUACGGGAGGCAGCAGUGGGGAAUAGUGCACAAUGGGCGGAAGCCUGAUGCGGCAACGCCGCGUGCGGGAUGACGGCCUGCGGGUUGUAAACCGCUUUCGCCUGUGACGAAGCGUGAGUGACGGUAAUGGGUAAAGAAGCACCGGCUAACUACGUG